GGCCGUGGCCGGAGUCGGUGCCCCCGAGGAGAGCCAACCCCUGGAAGCAAAUUGCAGACACUAAGACACUUUAAAUACCUCAGCAUGUACCUCCAGGAGCAAAACUGUCUGGAUUAUUCUAGAGCAUAAGAAGAGACAAGCAGAGCCUAUAAAAUGGGAUCGUGGAGACCAAUGACCACUGAACAAGAUCUCGAGCACAUUCCUGAUAAGAUCUUCCCGACGACAGUUUUUAAACCUCUUGAAACCUGUCACCUUUGUUCCUCUUGCCCCUCGCCUGGCCAAGC